GAUGAACGCUGGCGGUAUGCUUAACACAUGCAAGUCGAACGGACUCUUCGGAGUUAGUGGCGGACGGGUGUGUAACGCGUGAGAAUCUUGCUUUGGGUUCGGGACAACCACUGGAAACGGUGGCUAAUACCGGAUGUGCCGAGAGGUAAAAGAGAAAUUGCCUGAAGAUGAGGUCGCGUAUGAUUAGCUAGUUGGUGAGGUAAAGGCUCACCAAGGCAGCGAUCAGUAGCUGGUCUGAGAUGAUGACCGGCCACACUGGGACUGAGACACGGCCCAGACUACUACGGGGGGAAGGAGUGGAGAAUUUUCCGCAAUGGGCGAAAGACUGACGGAGCAAUACCGAGUGAGGGAAGAAGGCUCUUGGGUUGUAAACCUCUUUUCUUAGGGAAGAACAAAAUGACGGUACCUAAGGAAUCAGCAUCGGCUAACUCCGUG
rnacentral:rRNA from 1 species